GUCCCAGGGUUAGUGGUUAGUUUGUUUGCCUCACACCGCCAGGGUUGAGGGUUCGAUUCCCGCUGUGACG